rnacentral:rRNA from 1 species
AACGUAGGGGGCUAGCGUUGUCCGGAAUUACUGGGCGUAAAGCGCACGCAGGCGGUCUGGAAAGCGGUGGGUGCAAUCUCGAGGCUCAACCUCGAAACUGCUCGCCGAACUACCAGACUUGAGCACGGGAGAGGACAGUGGAAUUCCCGGUGUAGCGGUGGAAUGCGUAAAUAUCGGGAGGAACACCAGUGGCGAAGGCUGCUGUCUGGAACGUUGCUGACGCUGAGGUGCGAAAGCCAGGGGAGCGAACGGGAUUAGAUACCCCGGUAGUCCCUGA